rnacentral:rRNA from 1 species
GAUGAACGCUGGCGGCGUGCUUAACACAUGCAAGUCGAACGAAGCAUUUAAGACAGAUUACUUCGGUUUGAAGUCUUUUAUGACUGAGUGGCGGACGGGUGAGUAACGCGUGGGUAACCUGCCUCAUACAGGGGGAUAGCAGCUGGAAACGGCUGGUAAUACCGCAUAAGCGCACGGUAUCGCAUGAUACAGUGUGAAAAACUCCGGUGGUAUGAGAUGGACCCGCGUCUGAUUAGUAGUUGGCGGGUAACGGCCACCAAGACCGCGAUCGGUAGCCGACCUGAGAGGGUGACCGGCACAUUGGGACUGAGACACGGCCCAGACUCCUACGGGAGCAGCAGUGGGGAAUAUUGCACAAUGGAGGAAACUCUG